CUCAGGAUUCAUUUAAAGUUAAGUGUCCUGAAUUGAAGGUGUGAUCAGCCUGCACAGCUGUGUUUUUCUGCAACCAUGCUCAGCAGAACCAUGGCAGGUGAUGGGCAAGCUAAGAGCUGGAAUUGAUCAGACCACAGGAAUUUGCCUGGCACACUGAUCAUUUCUCAAAAGCCUGUUCAAGAAUGAAGGAAACUAGAGGAAUGAAGGCACCAAAAUAAGAAAAGAUGACACCCCACAGCACAAAAGCAGCCCAUCAAACAACCAAGACGCCGACAUGCUCAGCAGGACUACAGGAAAGCUGCCGUCUCGCCUGUCAGAUGUAACCUUUUCUUCUCUGUCCUGGGCUUUUCUGAAAAGAAUACACCUCCCUACCAAGGCCAUCUUCAAUCUCUACAGAAGUCCCCAACUCCACCACCUCUUCAUGCGGUCACUGCAUGGGGACCUUCCUUGCCUGCUCUUUAGGACAAAGGUCUACACACAGCUGAUCCCCUCCCCACAGAGGCCAACACUUUUGAUUUCAUCAAUAAAUCAUUUGUAAUCAAGACAUUAAAGCUCAGGCUCAAACAGACCAGAAGUGCAGCUUCUGGAAUUGACAGGAAUAAAUUUGUCAGAUGUAGAUUCAUA
ensembl:lncRNA